UCCUCGGUAGCUCAGUUGGCAGAGCGGGUGGCUGUUAACCACUAGGUCGCAGGUUCGAGUCCUGCCCGAGGAGCCA
rnacentral:tRNA from 1 species